rnacentral:rRNA from 1 species
CCUACGGGAGGCAGCAGUGGGGAAUAUUGGGCAAUGGGCGCAAGCCUGACCCAGCAACGCCGCGUGAAGGAAGAAGGCUUUCGGGUUGUAAACUUCUUUUAUUGAGGACGAAACAAAUGACGGUACUCAAUGAAUAAGCCACGGCUAACUACGUGCCAGCAGCCGCGGUAAUACGUAGGUGGCAAGCGUUAUCCGGAUUUACUGGGUGUAAAGGGCGUGUAGGCGGGACUGCAAGUCAGAUGUGAAACCCAUGGGCUCAACCCAUGGCCUGCAUUUGAAACUGUAGUUCUUGAGUGAUGGAGGGGCAGGCGGAAUUCCUAGUGUAGCGGUGAAAUGCGUAGAUAUUAGGAGGAACACCGGCGGCGAAGGCGGCCUGCUGGACCGUAACUGACGUUGAGGCUCGAAAGCGUGGGGAGCAAACAGGAUUAGAUACCCCUGUAGUC